rnacentral:tRNA from 2 species
GCCCCCGUUGUGUAGCGGCCUAGCACGCCGCCCUCUCAAGGCGGUAGCGCCGGUUCAAAUCCGGUCGGGGGUA